UAUGAAAAAAAUAAAUAAUAAUUAUUUUUUCUGCUAGGUAAUCAUUAAAAAAGCAAAAGUUUUCCUGGGCGGCUGCGGCCUUUCUUAGCUUCCGGUAGUUGGUAUACUGUCGCAAUUUAUUUUUUUUUGUGGGUAAAAAAAAAAAAAAACCUCUUUUACUCUUAGAAAAAAAAAAGCCCUUAAAAAUGAGGUUAAAUUAUAAAAAUUUUUCUGUCAAAAUUUAAUUUUCAUUUUUUUCCCGUCAUUUAAAAAUCUACGCUUUACUCCAUUGUAAAAUGAAAAAUGCUCACUCAUCUUUUGCAGUUAAUGAUCCGUCAGGAUUCCGUUUAUAAAAUAUUAUUAUUAUUUUUUUAUACCAAAAAUGCCCUCAGUCUUCUCUUUUGUUGUCAGAAAUGGUGAGAGAUAAAAUAGUUAUUUUGUCAUCACAAUUUAUACCGUACCUCUUGUCACCAAUUUUUAUUUUAUAAGGGUGUAAAGUGUAAAUUUUUUAAAUAACAGGAGGGAAAAGUGAAAAAUCGAAUUUUAACAUUAGGUUUUAUGUAAUUUAGCCUAAAAAUUAGUAAUGUUUUGGUUGGAUGGUUCAAUUCAUCCUGGCAUCUUUUAAGUGAUAAGAAACGUCCCACUCAGUUGCUAAAUAUAUUUAUUUAAAGCACACCUUGAACAACCCCAUAAGUUUGUACAUAAACUCGUCGCAUGCACACUUAAUUGUGUCGUAAGCUUGGGUUAAGGGUGGGUUGUUGGCUUGCUUCAAGGUGUCGUCCACCGUCCUAUUAUCUACACGAGAAAAAGUAUUACCAAGCUGAGCUAUUCCUAACUUUUCAAUUGAUUAUUGCUUACUUAGCAACAACAUGCAUACUUUUCUAUUUUGGUGAGAGUGUAUGGACACCCCUUUAGCUUUUGAUUAUUUUUUUAAAUAAGUGAUUUUUGGUCGAUAACUGGUUUUUUCUCAAUUCUAAUACUAUUUUAUAAAAUUUAACAGUUUAAUUAUAUUUUUUAGCAAAUAAAAUUAUAGAUUUAACUAAUAGAGAAGUUGAAUUUAAUAACUUUUUAAAUUUAACUAGCUAAUGUAAUUUAAAUGGAAAAAGAUUAAAAUUUAAGAGAGGAUUAAUUAAGUAAAUGAAGCUGAACGAUCUAUUUCAAAAACUCCUAUAUUUGAAGGAUUCUCAAUAUAUAUAUAUUUUUUUUGAGGAAAAAAGAAGCAUGAUAUGUGCCACAUUCAUUAAAGAUAUGAAUUAAGCAACAAGGGUGAGAUAAUUAACCUCUGUCAAAACGAAAAUAAACAAAAAAGUGACAGAGUAAGGUUUCAACUUUCAGCUUUAUAGUUCAAAAUAAUAAUUUUCUGACUGAAAUGAAAUAAGAUUUGAAAAAAAAUUGUCGGAUAGAAAAAUCCGCUCUGAUAUCAUAUGAAAGUUGAAAUAAAAUUUGCUUUCAAAGAAGCCCUUAAAAAAGAAAAAGAAAAAGAUGAUGGUUAGACUAGAGAAAUUUCUCCCGCCGAAACACUGAUCGCUUGAUCUUGUCAAUAUUAUUCUUAGUAUAUUAUUAAUCUUUCAUAUUCUUCAAUAUAGACUAGGUUUACCCACUGUCUCUAGAGUAAGUGGCAAAGGACUUGUGGUUGAUAUCCGAGAUUCCAAGUUCGAAUCCUAAUUGAUUUACAUUUCCAGUUAAGUUUAUUUCUAAAUGAAAUAAAUGAAACGGAUAACGUGCUUCCUAUAUCUCUCUCUCUCUCUCUCUCUCUCAAACAAAAAAACAAAUAAUAGUAGACUAGGCUUAUUUGUGUUGACCGUAGAAAACACAACUUGACACUUUUUUAUACUGCAGGGUUGGUAUACAACUCCCAACUGUGGAGGUGAGGUUCGAGCAUCUAACAAUAGAAGCCAAGUGCCACGUCGGCAACAGGGCUCUGCCCACGCUGCUCAACACGGCUCGCAACAUUGCCGAGUCAGCGGUUGGCCUCUUGGGCAUAAGGCUCACGAAGAUGACCACUCUUACCAUACUCAAAGAUGUCUCCGGAAUCGUACGACCCUCUAGGUACGAAGUUUAUAAUAAUAAUCAUACUUAAAAAGCAUGGUUGAUCCUCAAAACCCUUGAUACUUUACAAUUUCGUUGGCAAUUUGAUUUGGUCCCAAACUCACGUAAUUUCUCGCAAUGCCGCCAUUUCCCCGCCACUAUUUCUAAUAGAGGUGCAUCACAUACAAUUGUUUUUCCUCAAAAAUGAAAAUUCAAUUUGCAAUUUAUAUAAGUUCGAGAAUUAUUGUGUAUUCUGUUGUAAGAUGUUAUAUAUAUAUAUAUAUAUAUAUAUAUAUAUAUAUUUUGAGUAUAUAUGAUAUAUUCUUUUUGGUUGGUUGUAUUAUUAGGAUGACAUUGUUGCUGGGCCCUCCGUCAUCGGGGAAGACCACUCUUUUACUAGCCUUAGCUGGGAAGCUGGACCCAACACUGAAGGUUUAGUUGACUCGCUCUGAUUAGAUUUAUUUAAAGUAAUUGGACAUACACAGUUGGAGCGCAAAGAGCGUGAACUGUGUGAAGUGUGAACCCACUCCUUUUCCUUUUUUGUAAAUUUUAUUUUAUUUUGUUUUAUUUUUUAAAAAAUAAAAUGUUUACUAUUAGGCACGGGGAGAGAUAACGUACAACGGGUACGCACUCGACGAGUUCGUGCCCCAGAAAACGGCGGCCUACAUUAGCCAAACUGACGUCCACAUGGCCGAGAUGACCGUUAAAGAAACCCUCGAUUUCUCCGCUCGGUGCCAGGGCGUGGGAUCCAAAUACGGUAAUUAAUUUUUCAAAAAUUCUAAUGUUCAAAAUUUAAUUAAUUAGUUUCACUAAUUUUAACCGAUUAAUUUCGGUGUAGACCUUCUAACGGAGUUAGCCAGGAGGGAGAAAGAGGCUGGGAUUCUUCCAGAACCUGAAGUCGAUCUCUUUAUGAAGGUAAAAAUAUGCUGCGGACUAAAUUAAUGACUAAUGCAAGCUUAAUUAGGCUUAAUUUUAAAUCUAAAAAUGUUGUUCGGGAAAGUGCUAAGCAGUUGUUUUUUUUUUUCUUUUUUUCUGAAUUUCUUUUUAACUUUUAGGCACAUGUCUAUGCACUGUCAAAAAAAGUUUAGUCUAUUCUCCUGUACUCUCUCUCUUUGGAUAGAGAGAAUGAGAGAAAAGAGAUGCUAUUUGAAUAUCCUAUUUACAUCCAUAUGUUUAAAAAUUUAAUUGAUCAUCCGUAGUGCAAAUGAUAAAGGACUUGAUGGUUGGUAUCCGAGGUUUCAAAUUCGAACCUAGUUGAUUCACAUUUUUAGCUAAUUUUAUUUUUAAAUAAAAUAAACGAAGUGUAUAUCACGUUAUUUAUUUUUUUAAAAAAAAAAUUGACAAGGCUGUAUAAGCAUAUUCGCUCUUAGAUGAAUAGGAUGUAAAAAUUUGCACAUAUUUUGUAAAUGUACAACUAGCAUUGCUCCUUCAAAGUAAAAUUGGAGGAGUGUUUAUCAUUUCUUUUUUUUUUUAAGUAUUUCAUCCGAACAAAGAAUAAGUCAAAGAAAGUAGGCCAUUUGUACACUAGCAUACUACCUCGUAUCUACUUUGUAAGUCACAUUUGUAACGUUUCUUAAUACAAAACAGGCUACUUCGAUGGAAGGGGUCAAAAGCAGUCUCCAAACGGACUACACGCUCAGGGUACGUUUCCUUUCUUUCUUCUUAUUUUAUUUUUUUCUGAGCCCCACCGCGAAAGAAAGAAAUAAAAAUAAUAUAACCGACGGUCUCUAGAGCAAAUAACAAAUAGUUUGAUGGUUGGUGCCCGAAAUUCAAAUUCAAAUCCUAAUUGAUUCAUAUUUCCAGCUAAAUUUAUUACUAAAUAAAAUAAACAAAACGGGUAGCGUGCUAUCUAUAUUUUAAAAAAAUAAAAUAAAAAUAAUAAAAAAUAAAAUAAAGAGGGUCACUGUAGUAGAUACACCGCACCAAUCGUGUGUUUGGGUCCCACCAAAUUGGCGAAAUGGUUGGUGAAAGUUGUUCGCGUUUGACCGAGUCCGAACUAUGCAUGUAUUAUAUAUUCUAAGCACAAGGGUGGGGGGCAAAUGGGAAUGGGUGCGAUCCCUCCAUUGACAAAUGAGUUCACCUACUUUUAUUUCGCUGUGUGCGUGGUGGGGCCCUUACGAUGGGGGUUGGUUGAACUACUAUUAUUAAAAAACAAAAAAAAAGAAGUUGGUGCCUAUUCCAUUUCCCCCCGGUCCUUUUUUUUUUUUUNGUUCCGGGUCGCCGAGGAGGACAACGAGCGCUUUCUCAAGAAGCUGCGGCAUCGGAUCGAUCGGUGAGUUUCAUAAUCAUUACUAUUAUUAUUAUUAGUAUUACUAUUUGUUGAUUUCAUCGGAUGGGAAUUAUUUUGGUUAUUGAUGAGUGUUUUGAUCUCGAAAAGCGCUUUUGCUUUUACCUUUGCAUGAAUGAACAAUAUCCUUCCAAAUCGGUAGUGUUUACGAGUAUCUCGGAAUAAUAUUUAUGAGAUGCUGGUGUAAUAAUAUAUUAUACUAAUACUAAUAAGUUAAUAUAAUAUAAUACAGAAAAAUCUCAUAUAAAAAAAAUUAUUGGUAAAAUUAAAGACUAUACAAAAAUUUGUUGGAAAUGAAGAAACUCUAGAUUGUUGGGUUUGGUAAUGAAUGAGAAAUACUAGAGAUAAAAACUAUAUGACUUGCAUGGAAGCUGCUGCUCAUUUGGCCGAAUUUUCUUGUCACGUCAUAAAUAAUUUUUUUAUUUUUUUAUGGAUUCAUUAUUGUUAUAUGCUGGAUCGUUUUAUUUAAUGAUGUAAAAAACAUGCAUAAUAAAACAUUUAUUUUUCAACCCUGGGGCUGGGGAUUCUUACAAUAACAAUAAAACAAAUUUGUUUUUCUUAUAUUUGUGGGAUCUAGCCGUAUGUGGUGACCAACUAAUAAUUGAAUUUUAAUAUAUUUUUUUAAAAGUUACUUUCUAAUAAUAUCCAAUAUUUUUAUGAAAAAAAUAAAUAAUAAUUAUUUUUUCUGCUAGGUAAUCAUUAAAAAACAAAAGUUUUCCUGGGCGGCUGCGGCCUUUCUUAACUUCCGGUAGUUGGUAUAAUGUCGUAAUUUAUUUUUUUUUGUGGGUAAAAAAAAAAAAAACCUCUUUUACUCUUAGAAAAAAAAAAGCCCUUAAAAAUGAGGUUAAAUUAUAGAAAAUUUUUCUGUCAAAAUUUAAUUUUUUAUUUUUUUUUUCAUCAUUUAAAAAUCUACGCUUUGCCCCAUUGUAAAAUAAAAAAUGCUUACUCACCUCCUACCGUUAGUGAUCCGUCAGGAUUUCGUUUAUAAAAUAUUAUUAUUAUUUUUUUAUACAAAAAAUGCCCUUAGUCUUCUCUUUUGUUGUCAGAAAUGGUGAGAAACAAAAUAGUUAUUUAGCCUAUUUUUAUACCAUACCUCUUGUCACCAAUUUUUAUUUUAUAAAGGUGUAAAGUGUAAGUUUUUAAAUAACAGAAGGGAAAAUAAAAAAUUGAAUUUUAACAUUUGGUUUUAUGUAAUUUAGCCUAAAAAUUACUAAUGUUUUGGUUGGAUGGUUCAAUUCAUCCUGGCAUCUUUUAAGUGUUAAGAAACGUCCCACUCAGUUGCUAAAUAUAUUUAUUUAAAGCACACCUUGAACAACCCCAUAAGUUUGUACAUAAACUCGUCGCAUGCACACUUAAUUGUGUCGUAAGCUUGGGUUAAGGGUGGGUUGUUGGCUUGCUUCAAGAUGUCGUCCACCGUCCUAUUAUCUACACGAGAAAAAGUAUUACCAAGCUGAGCUAUUCCUAACUUUUCAAUUGAUUAUUGCUUACUUAGCAACAACAUGCAUACUUUUCUAUUUUGGUGAGAGUGUAUGGACACCCCUUUAGCUUUUGAUUAUUUUUUUUUUAAAUAAGUGAUUUUUGGUCGAUAACUGGUUUUUUCUCAAUUCUAAUACUAUUUUAUAAAAUUUAACAGUUUAAUUUUAUUUUUUAGCAAAUAAAAUUAUAGGUUUAACUAAUAGAGAAGUUGAAUUUAAUAACUUUUUAAAUUUAACUAGCUAAUGUAAUUUAAAUGGAAAAAGAUUAAAAUUUAAGAGAGGAUUAAUUAAGUAAAUGAAGCUGAACGAUCUAUUUCAAAAACUCCUAUAUUUGAAGGAUUCUCAAUAUAUAUAUA
rnacentral:lncRNA from 1 species